UUCAAAUGUUCAUAGAUGGCUUGGGGCUUGCAGGGACAGAUCUUCCAGUGUCACCAGGAGCCUCUGGGAUAGGCGGGAAACGCUUCCUACAGGGGGUGGGGCGGGGGGCGCAUUUGAGCUCCAUGUGGGGAAGGCCCAGGGCAACUCUAAGCUGAGUGCAGAGUCCCAGGUCCCGAAAAUAGUGAGGCUUCCAGGUCACGAGGUUACACCAGCAUCCAUGACGUCAGCAGGCCAGCGGCGGGCCCUUAGCCAUGGAGGUUCAGAUCGUGUGGGUUGUGGGUCCCACGGUCCCAGAGUCAGCCGGGCGCCCAUUGGCUUGGCCUCAGGAUGCCCAGGGACAUGCCUGGUGCAGCUGGGGCAGCAGGAGCUCACUCUACCAUGAAAUAUUCAUGGCUGCUGGCAAAGCCCGGCCCUAAAAUAUAGUUUGCAGAAGAAAAAGAGCCAUCAGGCAUUUAAUCAUUGUGUUAAUGAGGCUCUAUUUGGAAGCAAACUCCAUCUGACUGCGUCCUAGACAGCAAGAGUCAGGGCCCGGCCAACCUGUGUUGCCGGCCGCAGGGGCAGCCUCAUCCCUGAGACACCAGUGGGAGACACGCCCGGGCAAGGCACAGGCUUGGCUCGAGGCCAUGGCCAGCGGCCCUCCACUUCAGGGGAGCCCAUGAGAUUAUAACGGCAUCCUGAGGUUUGCCAAAAAGCAUCCUUUUAAGCAGAAAGCAAGCAACGGCCCUGCAUGGAGGCGCCACAGAUCCAGUCUGGCUGAGCAGGGGCUAGACCAACUCGUUUUCCCUAAGCAGCUUCCUCGGGGGAACCACUACCCCUCCUGCCUCCAGCUCCCCCUGCUGCCCAGGCCGCCGCCACAGACACUGCAAAUUACCAUCCAGACAAGAUUGCCGGGCCCUUUACAAAGCCUGAAGCAGCUCCUGCAGCCGCCGUCAGCGUCAGCAGCCGCCCUUCUUCGCCAGGUGUGCUGAUUGCAAGUCUCUCUGUGCGGCAGGAGGGGACGUCUCCAAAGGGCAGGCGUCCAGUGGCAGCACCGCAGGCCUGUGGGUGUUCCACCUGCAGAGGCCCCAGAGCAGCCCACGGAGGGCCACGGUGGUAUUAUUCCCAUUUCACAGGGAAGAAGCAAGGUCAGAGCUCUUCCCAGAUGGCUCAAGGUCCAUAAAGGACAACGGUCCAGGGCAGCGAGGCACGUCGGGGUGGACAGUGACGAGGGAGCCGCGGCCCAGCCAUCCUGCUGUGGGGGAGACGCCCCAAGGGAUGCACAGUGAGGCCUGGGCAGUGGGAGCUCCAGAAGCUACAGAGCAGGAGCCAUGGCUGCAUGUCCAGAGCCAGGCUUUCCAUUCCCACGCUGCCCACGAUGACGGAGCGGAGGACACAGAGGGAGGAGAAAACGCCCCCUGAGAAGGGGGACAGGGACGACAGAGCCUUGGAGGGAGUUCGGACAGGAGGGAGUGCCCACUGAGCGCAUUUCCUGAAACUUCCAGCUCCCCCUCCCCCGAGUCUUUCCCAGGGCCAAGGCCAUCCCUGGUCACGGAGCCCGCACCGCCUCCUCCCUGCAGCGCCAGGCCCAUGCUGCCCGCCCUUACCCGCUCCUCCCGUCCGGCGCUUGAGAGACGUGGUGUCUGGAAAGUCUGUCCCAUCCCAGCUUCCACAACACCCACUGAGACCCACGCCAACGCGCCCCGCCCACGAGAACCCAGGUCACUCCCGCUUGGUGACUGCGGAAGAACUUUCCGGGUGUCACGUUGGUCCAGUCCCAGGCUGUCCUUCUCUCAACUAAGUUUCCAUCUGGAUUCCAGCCCACCCCCAUGCACGGGACGCAGGAGCUCUGGGUGCCCACCACUCCAUGAAGGGUGAUUGUGGUGAUGUAUUUGACCUUCUGGCAGCAAUUUAAUCAAAUCUGGAAAUCUGGGCCGGCACCUGGUUCGGGACUCAUCCCCUGUUGCUAGGAAACCCAACUCCUGCGGAUCCCACCCUGCUCCAUCCGGAGACAGUGGGAGAGACCCUCCUGCAGCUGAGGCCAGGGCUGGGGAAUGGCUGGAGAUGGAUGGGGACAGCAGUGGCCUUUGCACUGGCUGACUUCACAGCAGAACUCCCACGAGUGCCGAGAAACAGCGUGUAGGGGCGCUGCUCUCCCUACAAGCCCUUCCAGGCGCUGCAGGUCACUUAGAAGCUUGUGGCGCAUCCCUCGGUACCUCUCUCUGCCUGCGCACCAUAAACACCCAGACUACAGGGCCAUACCUGUCUCUUCUUGGUCUCCCCAGCAUCCUGCAGAUUAGUGGCCCUUCAGACACUUUGCACCCCAGUAGGGGGUGGGGAGGCUGGUGGAAAGUGAGCCCUGUGGCUCCUGGAGAAGCGGCGAGCAGCAGGCAGUGUUACACAAGGGUCCUCCCAACCCAGCUGACCUCACCAGGUCAUUCAUGCAAGAAUGCGGGGCCAAUGGGUUUCUGCCAGGCGUGCCAGGGCUGAGGGCACCCCUGGGUCCUCACAGCCCCCACUGUCCAGGGACAGCAGAGUCCUCCUUCCCUUUGCCAUUUCCAUGUUUCUCAUUUCAAUAAUUCUUGCAGCCCAUGUUGUGUAAAUAAAAUUAUUCUUCCCAAAAAAAUCGUUAGCAGAGCCCGACAUUAAUUCCCCUGCAAUCUGUGUAAUUAACUGCAUGUAAUAUAGGGCAUUAAAGGACCGGUUUGCUAAUCACCACUCCUCCGCUCCACGCACCUAAUUAAAUCUCCUUCCUGUUUAUCCACUUACAGGAUCCUCUGCAAAGAUACCAGGCACCAGGAACACUGUUGUAAUAAAUCUUUGCGUAAUUUUAGAGGGUGCAGUCCCACUCUGUUUCAUUCCCACUGCUGAGCCCCUCCUCCCUGCAGCCACGUCUCCCCAUGACUCGGC
rnacentral:lncRNA from 1 species